rnacentral:rRNA from 1 species
GACAGAGGGUGCAAACGUUGUUCGGAUUUACUGGGCGUAAAGCGCGUGUAGGCGGCCAGGUAGGUCUGCUGUGAAAACUCGAGGCUCAACCUCGAGACGUCGGCGGAAACCAUCUGGCUAGAGUCCGGAAGAGGAGAGUGGAAUUCCUGGUGUAGCGGUGAAAUGCGCAGAUAUCAGGAAGAACACCAAUAGCGAAGGCGGCUCACUGGCCCGGUACUGACGCUGAGGUGCGAAAGCGUGGGGAGCAAACAGG